CAAAAAGGAAAGAUCAGGAAUUAGUAGUAAUUUUGUUUUUCUAUAGAGAAGAGUCGGUUGGUGCAAGACUUGAAAAACAAGUUAUGAACUGAGCCUGAAGACAAGUCUAUCGUUUGCUAUCCGCGUUAAGGGGCGUGAGUGUCACACUUUUUAGUGUGGAACUUAGGUGGUACCGCGAUUAUUCGUCCUAUGA
rnacentral:ncRNA from 1 species